CCCGGAAGAACUGGCGGGCAGCAGGCUGCCCAGGGAGCUGGGGGGGACGCUCCUUGCAAAGACACGUCCCCGUUUUUCUUCCAGGGUAAAACCGCUCCGAGGUAAGCGUUCCGAAUCCCCCUCCUGGGAGGAGGCCUCCCCAGCGAAUCGUUCUAGUUCCGGGGACAUGCAGCGUCCCUCGUCUGUAGCUUUUUCUUUGCUGUGGACAGGGAUGAGAUAUUUCUGCUCUGUUUGGAUCACAAAAUCAUCCAAUUCUGGUGCAUGGAUGAGAGGAGGGCAUCAGCAGUCAGGUGUCCUCAGCAGAAUAAUGGUCAGGGCACCUUAUGUGACCUACGUCCUUGUCCAAGAGUCACCUCCAGGACGCAGUGACAGCAUGUCACUGUGCUUUGUGCACAAAGACCAAGACCAAGACCUAAUGACCGAGUGCUUCUGGUGAAGCCGGACCAAGAUCCUUAGCAGGAGUUUAAAAGUGUCCUUGUCCCCCCAACACAGGCCACACUCUUCUCUGUCCCUUCCAUGGACUCACAUGGCCUCCGUACCCAUGAGUCAGGGGACCAAAACUGUCUCCUCACUCGGGCGGCAUUUCAGGAAAACACUGAGACGAGCGUCCCCGUGGCUUGUCCAGGGAAACCCUCGUUGCCAUCUGACUCGUGGGGCCCACAGCAAACCAGAGGAGCCCAAUCCCAGCAGGCCCCUGCGGCUGUCCGUCCAGAUGCUGCUCUGGGCUUCCAGGGACCGAGGGGAAGAACCAUGGCUACGCUUCACCCACAGAUGACUAAAGAACCUUCUCUGGGGCCAAGAAGCGCAGGUGCAGAUGUUUUCUCUGUGUGCUGCGUUUUAUGGGCUGCAGACUCCUAUCCGAGGGUGAUAAGAGGCUCCGGGCGAUUGGCUCUGCUGACUGGAGACGUACUUCACGAACUCCAGUGUGAGGCACCUCGGGACGAAUCACACACAGGAGCCCGCUCCCCACCAGAGGACGCGUGUGUUGGCAUGAAGACACACGCGCACACCCAGAUCCUAAAGCCGCUCAGGCCCCUGAGGAGGAGGUGGUCAUCAGAUAACUGUCGACCCCACUUCCCCAGUGACAUUAAAAGGCGAAAUCCCAUCGGAGAGGAGAAGGGCCUCCGGGAGGAGCCUGGGGAGCGUGCAGGGGGCCUGGCCCACAGUCCUGGGCAGCACCCCUGCUCUGUCGAGAUUCCCCUGUGGGCAUCCUGGGCUGAGCCCUCUCCUCCUACCCUACCCAGAACGCCCCCUGCACUCCUGGUCCCUUCAGAAGGGCACUCCCAGGACAAACUCCAACCAUGGUGGCGCGUCACCUUAGCCACCACAUGGUGGCUGAGGCCUGGCCUGGCAGGGCCGGGCCAUGAAGCCGGCGUCUGGGGGUGUUGAACACUGGGGGGUGCUGGACUUCCGAAAGCUUUUUAAGUGACAUUUCACAGCCUGCAUCUCCUGUCCCAUAGCACAGUCCCUCCAGGGUCUCAUUCUUCUCCGAGUCCCCCACCCCACCUGCACGUCAUGAGAGAGCGCUUCCGGGAGGGAGGUGGAAUUUUCCACCAGAGGGUCAGCCUCUGUUAUUUCUUCUUCUUUGAAGUGGAUGAAAUCGAAAGCUCUUGGAAGCUCCUGAGACGGACACUCUUGAGAGAUCUGAUCGAGGCCGUCAUGUGAGAUGAGUCAGUGAUGGGGAAUUUCAUAGGUAGAGAAAAUGAGUCACGCAACACUCAGUGGCCAGGUCACUGUGGCUUCCUCCUCUGCCCUGGAGGGGUCCCAGCUUCCCUCUGAGCCUGGCUGAGGGGUGCCCCCAGGCUCCGGGGGGGCCUUUCCUGGCCUCUGCCUCCCCCUCUCAGAGCCGUCGCCGCCUGGCUGGCUGUGGUCUUGGCUGGUGACUCUUGAAGUCAGGCUGAAAGACUGCAAUGGAGACGUGGGGUUUAAUGCCAUCAACAGCCGGUGCAAAACCCGCCCCGUCUGGGGGGACGGUUCAUCCUCCGAUGAGCAGAAGAAACAGGAGGAGAAAGGACAGAGUGUGUGUGAGAGAGGGAGAGGAAGCUUCUGGCAUCGUCCCCAGCAUUUCACCCACAAACUGGUUUAGGCCAGUGAGACAGGAUGUUCUGCAGAGCAAAGAUCAUGUGACCACCGGGAGCAAACAGAUGGUGUAUCAUUAACAAACUGCAAGGCGGCGGUUCCCCGUCUCUCCAGGGUGUCAGCGACCGAGGCGAUUUAAUUAAAAACAUAACAAAAAUAAAAUAAGAAGUGACCAGGGCCAAAGUCUCCUCCUAUUCAGACUCAACCUGGUCAAGAAUGUGGAAGGGGCAACCCCUCUGAUGCCCGGCCACCACCUGCCCCUGGACUGUGACUGGUCUGCAGACCGUCUGCACCAUCAGUCCUCCAGCAUCCUGAUGGUCACUGUGGCUGCAGUGGGGGUGGAGGGUGGCUCCAGGACAAGAUGAGGACGGCUCCCUGCCCAGCAAGCAAGCCGAAGGGAGCCCAGAGCCCCAGGACCGGGAGAGGGUGUGCAGGGAAGCCUCCCUAUGCACUAGCAGUGGCCAGGGUCACGCUGGGUCUGAGCAGCAGCUUCCAGCUGGACCAGGAGCCCAUGCAGGAGCUGUCGGAAGACCCCGAGCCCCAUCGAUGGCGUUACCCCAGCAGAUCUCAGGCCUCCGGGUCACAAAGCCAUGGCCAGGGGUAACGAGGAGCUGGAACUGAGUCCGUGAGAGGGUCGGCCCUCCCUCCAUAUCCACGGGCGCCCGUCCAGGGACCCACCUAACGCUGGUCAAAAAUAUCAGGAAAAGAAUCGCAUCUGUACUGAGCGCGUGCAGACUUUGUUUUUUGUCAUUAUUCCCUAACAACCCAGCGUAACAGGGAUCUACCAGCACGCACACGGCACUGGGAAUGACACAACCCAGGAUGACUUAACGAAUAGCGGCGGGAACUCGUAGGUCGUGUGCCAACACUAUAUCCAUUAAUCCAAGGGACUUGAGCAUCGAUGGAUUCCAGCAUCUCGAGCCUGUCCACCCGGCCACAGACGGUGACUGUGUGUGUGUUAAAGUGUCCUUUGGCAACUUCAGUAAGAAUCUGGAGGAGCGGUCUUCACUUCGCCAUCUAUGAGAUCAGUCUCGGUCCAGAUGUAACUCGGAUAAAUGACGUGUGCACCGUGACGCCUACGAGAAGCCCAGAGCUGACUCAAAGGCUGUGGAGAGAAAUACGCACCUGUCCUCGGGGAGGGAGGGCCCGGUGUGCAGGGUCACGGGAACACGCCAACCCACUCCGCCGUCUCUCCACUCGGCGGUGGUGCCUCAUCUGCAAGACUUCACUGAAGUGCCCUUCACUAGACGUGGGGAUGGCAAACCAGACCCCGUGACCCCUGUUCUAUCACAUUCUAGAAGGAGAAGGCACAUGGACAAACUAAGAGCUAGACCUUGUCAGGUAUGGUUACUUCAGGUUGAUGGGGUGGGAAGAUCUCCGUUGUUUUAAGUGUAAACUGAACGACUAGAAGAUUCCAGGCACACGAUGAUUUGAGAAACAGCCUUCCAGGAAGAAGGGGCUGCUCGUGCAAAGGGCCUGAGGUGGGAAUGAGUCUGGUGUGUUUUAGGAUUUAAGGUCAGUGGGGCUGGGGUGUGGGGAGCAAGAAAUGGGUGUCAGGGAUGUUGACAGGAGCCUGUUGAGAAACCUGGUUAUUGUGGGCCUGCAGACAAUGCAGCAUCGGGGAAUCUGUACAAAAAAGCAAUUUACCUCCAGUUAGCAGACCCACAAGCAAAGAAAGCUUUGGCCAUGUUGUCACAGAGUCAAAGGAAUAUGAACUCACACGUCUGAAGUUGUAACGGACUGUCCAGGGCUUGUGUUUCAUGCUUUAUGGUUGCCUGCUUUAGCCAACGUCAGCCAACCCCUGCAGGUCUCACAGGCUUAGAUUCUAGGACUUCUGCUCUUCUUAAGUGCUUUGCUGCAAAUGCCAACACCAAUUAAUAGUUCUACAGCCACAAUUAAUAAUCCUACGUGCGUUAUAAAGAAUGACAGUUUCUUUGCGCCAACACCACACAAACGCUUUCAUGAUGUGUACGCACUUGUACGCACCGAGCAUGACUGGAAUGUCUUCCCCAAGGACUUGAAGUUUAACUCAUAAUGACCUGAGAGAGAAAAUACGCCUUAUUUGGGGAAGUUCUGUUUGAUCUAGCUGUGGAAUCCAGACAGAUGGAGCGUGUGUUUAUUAACCAGCCUCCACAGAAAUGCUUGGCCCUUGGAGAGAUGUCAGAGCUGUACGUUUCUUGCUGCAGGUGCUCAACCAUCCCGGUGAGCUAGACCUCCAGACAGAAGCAAGAUUGGGUAGGAUCGGCCAUGAGCAAGGGCUUCGGUCACAAGGGCUCUGUUCCCCCUCUGUGGGCUUGCCAAUUGCAGAACUGGGAUGCCACCAAAAUCUCUGUUGCUGAUCAUCUGUCCAUAAAAACCCACGUCCUGGGCUGGGGAUGUAGCUCAGUUGGCAGGGUGCUUGCCUCUCAUGCACAAGGCCCUGGGUUCGAUCCCCAGCACCACCAAAAAGAAAGGAAGAAAGAAAAGCUCAUGUCCCUUUCCUCUAUUCCAGUAAGCCUUCUUCCAAGAAUCCCUUUUAAAUUUUCCCACCUUAAAGUGAUCAUUUCCUUCAGUAUUUUUAAGAAGAUAUUAUUCAGAUAAUAUUGAUAUUUGAUAUAUUCAAAUAAUACUGAUACUUAAAAAUAUCAAAUGUAACACCUACAGGAAUAAGAGUCUAUAAUUGGAGUCCUGGACCCAACACUCAGAGCAGGAAAAACUCACCCAUAACUUGCCCCUACGUCAAACACUUGGCAAAGACGGUUCUGAGCCUUCUCCACUCACUCCCCUGAACCCAGAGGUAACUACAAGUUUAAAUUUUGUGUUUAUCAUGCCAUUGCUUUUUUUUAAGUUGUGUGAUUUCUUUCCAAAUGUACUUUUUAAAUUAUUAUUAUUAUUUUUUUUACAUAGUAAAUAAACUUUAUUUGUCUGUUCCUCCAA